rnacentral:sRNA from 1 species
CGCGUCCGUCUCGUGGACGCCUGUGCCCAUCCAAGCCGACGGCGGGCUACGCUGACGCACGUGCGGCACGCCCCGCCCCCGGGGAAGCCGCAUAGCCGACAGCCGUCGCAUCCCAGGGAGCCCCUACAUG